rnacentral:rRNA from 1 species
UGCAAGUCGGACGGACUCUUCGGAGUUAGUGGCGGACGGGUGAGUAACGCGUGAGAAUCUGCCUACAGAUUGGGGACAACGUCGGGAAACUGACGCUAAUACCGAAUGUGCCGAGAGGUGAAAGAUUUAUCGUCUGUAGAUGAGCUCGCGUCUGAUUAGCUAGUUGGGGCGGUAACGGCGCACCAAGGCGACGAUCAGUAACUGGUCUGAGAGGAUGACCAGUCACACUGGGACUGAGACACGGCCCAGACUCCUACGGGAGGCAGCAGUGGGGAAUUUUCCGCAAUGGGCGAAAGCCUGACGGAGCAAUACCGCGUGCGGGAGGACGCUUUUUGGGGUGUAAACCGCUUUUCUCAAGGAAGAUGAUGACGGUACUUGAGGAAUCAGCAUCGGCUAACUUCGUGCCAGCAGCCGCGGUAAUACGAGGGAUGCAAGCGUUAUCCGGAAUUAUUGGGCGUAAAGCGUUCGUAGGUGGCAAAUUAAGUCUGUUGUUAAAACGUGGAGCUUAACUCCAUAUCGGCAAUGGAAACUGGUUAGCUAGAGUAUGGUAGGGGUAACAGGAAUCCCCAGUGUAGCGGUGAAAUGCGUAGAUAUUGGGAAGAACACCAGCGGCGAAAGCGUGUUACUGGGCCAUUACUGACACUGAGGGACGAAAGCUAGGGGAGCGAAAGGGAUUAGAUACCCCUGUAGUCCUAGCCGUAAACGAUGAGAACUAGGUGUUGCGCGUAUCGACCCGCGCGGUGCCGUAGCUAACGCGUUAAGUUCUCCGCCUGGGGAGUACGCACGCAAGUGUGAAACUCAAAGGAAUUGACGGGGGCCCGCACAAGCGGUGGAGUAUGUGGUUUAAUUCGAUGCAACGCGAAGAACCUUACCAGGGUUUGACAUCCUCGGAACUUUCUGGAAACAGAUUGGUGCCUUCGGGAACCGAGAGACAGGUGGUGCAUGGCUGUCGUCAGCUCGUGUCGUGAGAUGUUGGGUUAAGUCCCGCAACGAGCGCAACCCACGUUUUUAGUUGCCAGCAUUAAGUUGGGCACUCUAGAGAGACUGCCGGUGACAAACCGGAGGAAGAUGUGGAUGACGUCAAGUCAGCAUGCCCCUUACAUCCUGGGCUACACACGUACUACAAUGCUACGGACAAAGGGCAGCGAGCCAGCAAUGGUCUGCGAAUCCCAUAAACCGUAGCUCAGUUCAGAUUGCAGGCUGCAACUCGCCUGCAUGAAGGCGGAAUCGCUAGUAAUCGCAGGUCAGCAUACUGCGGUGAAUACGUUCCCGGGCCUUGUACACACCGCCCGUCACACCAUGGGAGUUGGUCACGCCCGAAGUGGUUACCCUAACCGUAAGGAGGGGGACCCCUAAGGCAGGGCUGAUGMCUGGGGGUGAAGUCGUAACAAGGUAGCCGUACCGGAAGGUGUGGCUGGAUCACCUCCUUUUAGGGAGACCUUACCCUCUUAUUUCGAAAGUUAUCUUCGGAUGACUUCAAAGUAGAAUUUUAGGGAGACCUUACCCUCUUAUUUCGAAAGUUAUCUUCGGAUGACUUCAAAGUAGAAAUAAGACAGGUCAUCUCAAGGUCGUUCAGGAUUGAUAGUGUUGGCUUUCGAACUUAUUGUCUGGUCUUAUUUGAGACCAAUAUGGGCUAUUAGCUCAGGUGGUUAGAGCGCACCCCUGAUAAGGGUGAGGUCCCUGGUUCGAGUCCAGGAUGGCCCACCUCCAAUCAUAUGGGGGUUUAGCUCAGUUGGUAGAGCGCCUGCUUUGCAAGCAGGAUGUCAGCGGUUCGAGUCCGCUAACCUCCACUGAUUUAGAUUCAGCAACUGUUCUAGUUUUAGACUAGAUAGCCUGCUGGAUGAUAAAUCCAGUCAGAACCAAGAAAACUGCAUAAGAGAUUAGGUAGGUAGUGACAUUUGUUGCAUUCAUCCGCGCAGCCUGUGUGAGUUGAAUGUAGAUAAAUGAUUCACAGACACCAAUGUGAUUAGAAGUGAUUAACUGGAUUACAGUUAUCAGUUUCUGAAACGUUUUUCGUAAUGUUGAGGGAAAUGAUAGCGAGGUCAAGUAUCAAGUCCUGGCC